AAUAUUGGACAAUGGGCGAAAGCCUGAUCCAGCCAUGCCGCGUGUGUGAAGAAGGUCUUCGGUUUUUAAAGCACUUUAAGUUGGGAGGAAGGGGUUGAAGCUAAUACCUUCAAUCUUUGACGUUACCAACAGAAUAAGCACCGGCUAACUCUGUGCCAUCAGCAGCGGGAAUACAGAGGGUGCAAGCGUUAAUCGUAAUUACUGGGCGUAAAGGGAGAGUAGGUGGUUCAGUAAGAUGGAAGUGAAAUCCCCGGGCUUAACCUGGGAACUGCUUUCAUAACUGCUGAGCUAGAGUACGGUAGAGGGUAGUGGAAUUUCCUGUGUAGCGGUGAAAUGCGUAGAUAUAGGAAGGAACACCAGUGGCGAAGGCGACUACCUGGACUGAUACUGACACUGAGGUGCGAAAGCGUGGGGAGCAAACAGG
rnacentral:rRNA from 1 species